UACGAAGGGGGCUAGCGUUGUUCGGAAUCACUGGGCGUAAAGCGCACGUAGGCGGAUUGUUAAGUGAGGGGUGAAAUCCCAGGGCUCAACCCUGGAACUGCCUCUCAUACUGGCAAUCUUGAGGUCGAGAGAGGUGAGUGGAAUUCCGAGUGUAGAGGUGAAAUUCGUAGAUAUUCGGAGGAACACCAGUGGCGAAGGCGGCUCACUGGCUCGAUACUGACGCUGAGGUGCGAAAGCGUGGGUAGCAAACAGG
rnacentral:rRNA from 1 species